UUGGAGGGCAAGUCUGGUGCCAGCAGCCGCGGUAAUUCCAGCUCCAAUAGCGUAUAUUAAAGUUGUUGCAGUUAAAAAGCUCGUAGUUGAAUUUCGGGGUUCUUCCGUUGGUCAGGCUAACAAGUCUGUACUAGCGUGUAGAAUCUCUACCUUCUGGGGAACCAUCAUGUUAUUAAUUUAGCGUGGUGGGAAACCAGGACCUUUACCUUGAAAAAAUUAGAGUGUUCAAAGCAGGCUUACGUCUGAAUACAUUAGCAUGGAAUAAUAAAAUAGGACGGUGGUCCUGUUUUGUUGGUUUCUGAAUCACCGUAAUGAUUAAUAGGGAUAGUUGGGGGCAUUAGUAUUCAAUUGUCAGAGGUGAAAUUCUUGGAUUUAUUGAAGACUAACUACUGCGAAAGCAUUUGCCAAGGAUGUUUUCAUUAAUCAAGAACGAAAGUUAGGGGAUCGAAGACGAUCAGAUACCGUCGUAGUCUUAACCAUAAACUAUGCCGACUAGGGAUCGGACGAAGUUAAUUUUAUAAUGACGCGUUCGGCGCCUUACGGGAAAC
rnacentral:rRNA from 1 species